UAGAGGAAGUAAAAGUCGUAACAAGGUCUCCGUUGGUGAACCAGCGGAGGGAUCAUUACCAGAGUGCCCUAGGCUCUCCAACCCAUUGUGAACUUACCAAACGUUCCCUCGGCGGGCUCAGCGCGCGGUGGCCUCCGGGCCUCCGGGCGUCCGCCGGGGAAAACCAAACCCUGAUUUAAUCGUAUUUCUCUGAGGGGCGAAAGCCCGAAAACAAAAUGAAUCAAAACUUUCAACAACGGAUCUCUUGGCUCUGGCAUCGAUGAAGAACGCAGCGAAAUGCGAUAAGUAAUGUGAAUUGCAGAAUUCAGUGAAUCAUCGAAUCUUUGAACGCACAUUGCGCCCGCCGGCACUCCGGCGGGCAUGCCUGUCCGAGCGUCAUUUCAACCCUCAGGCCCACCCUUCCGGGGGAGCGGGCCUGGUUCUGGGGAUCGGCGGCCCUCGCGGCCCCCGUCCCUCAAAUUCAGUGGCGGUCGCGCCGCAGCCUCCCCUGCGUAGUAGCACAACCUCGCACCGGAGAGCGGAACGACCACGCCGUAAAACACCCAAUUUUUUAAGGUUGACCUCGGAUCAGGUAGGAAUACCCGCUGAACUUAAGCAUAUCAAUAA
rnacentral:rRNA from 1 species